UAAGUGUAGAGAUUUGUAGAGAAUUGUAGAACUCUCUAGUGCUUUGAUCUUAGCCAUUGAUUAGAAUAGAUCUUAGACGUUGAUUUGGGACUCUAGCAACUAUAAAUAGGCUAGAGGCAUUUGGCAUUGGCAUCUAAGAAACAUUCAAGCAAUCCAACACUUGUACAAAGCAUUCUCUUGUUUAAUACAAAGCAUUCUUGCAAGCUUCUCUUCUUAGCUUCUCUUAGCUUUGUUGUGGCAAUAUUUCGGGGAAA
rnacentral:lncRNA from 1 species